rnacentral:misc_RNA from 1 species
UACGUAGGGCGCGAGCGUUACCCGGAAUUAUUGGGCGUAAAGAGCUCGUAGGCGGUUUGUCACGUCUGCUGUGAAAGCCCGGGGCUCAACCCCGGGUGUGCAGUGGGUACGGGCAGACUAGAGUGAUGUAGGGGAGACUGGAAUUCCUGGUGUAGCGGUGAAAUGCGCAGAUAUCAGGAGGAACACCGAUGGCGAAGGCAGGUCUCUGGGCCUUACCUGACGCUGAGGAGCGAAAGCGUGGGGAGCGAACAGG